AGCGAACGCUGGCGGCAGGCCUAACACAUGCAAGUCGAACGCGUGUAGCAAUACACGAGUGGCGCACGGGUGAGUAACGCGUGGAUAUCUGCCUUUUGGUUCGGAAUAACCCCGGGAAACUGGGGCUAAUACCGGAUGGUUCCUUCGGGAUAAAGAUUUAUCGCCAAAAGAUGAGUCCGCGUACGAUUAGCUAGUUGGUGAGGUAAUGGCUCACCAAGGCGACGAUCGUUAGCUGGUCUGAGAGGACGAUCAGCCACACUGGGACUGAGACACGGCCCAGACUCCUACGGGAGGCAGCAGUGGGGAAUAUUGGACAAUGGGGGCAACCCUGAUCCAGCCAUGCCGCGUGAGUGAUGAAGGCCUUCGGGUUGUAAAGCUCUUUUGGCGGGGACGAUGAUGACGGUACCCGCAGAAUAAGCCCCGGCUAACUUCGUGCCAGCCGCCGCAGUAAAAC
rnacentral:rRNA from 1 species